rnacentral:rRNA from 1 species
UACGUAGGGUGCAAGCGUUGUCCGGAAUUAUUGGGCGUAAAGAGCUCGUAGGCGGUUUGUUGCGUCGGCUGUGAAAUCCCGAGGCUCAACCUCGGGUCUGCAGUCGAUACGAGCAAACUAGAGUGUUGCAGGGGAGACUGGAAUUCCUGGUGUAGCGGUGAAAUGCGCAGAUAUCAGGGAGGAACACCGGUGGCGGAAGGCGGGUCUCUG